rnacentral:rRNA from 1 species
CAGCCGCCACGGUAAUACGUAGGUGGCAAGCGUUGUCCGGAAUUAUUGGGCGUAAAGGGCUCGCAGGCGGUUUCUUAAGUCUGAUGUGAAAGCCCCCGGCUCAACCGGGGAGGGUCAUUGGAAACUGGGAAACUUGAGUGCAGAAGAGGAGAGUGGAAUUCCACGUGUAGCGGUGAAAUGCGUAGAGAUGUGGAGGAACACCAGUGGCGAAGGCGACUCUCUGGUCUGUAACUGACGCUGAGGAGCGAAAGCGUGGGGAGCAAACAGGAUUAGAUACCCCUGUAGUCCCUGUCUCUUAUAA